AGGGUCUGUCUCAGCAGAGGGAGAGAGCAGCAGACUGAGGGUCAGUCUCAGCAGAGGGAGAGAGCAGCAGACUGAGGGUCAGUCUCAGCAGAGGGAGAGCAGCAGACUGGGGGUCAGUCUCAGCAGAGGGAGAGAGCAGCAGACUGAGGGUCCGUCUCAGCAGAGGGAGAGAGCAGCAGACUGAGGGUCCGUCUCAGCAGAGGGAGAGAGCAGCAGACUGAGGGCCAGUCUCAGAGGAGGGAGAGAGCAGCAGACUGAGGGCCCAUCUCUCAACGUCCCUCAUCUCUCCCUUUCCUCCACUGACUCUGACCAAAAAGGGACACCGUCUUCCAGCUGAUGGUGAAACUCGAGUCGCACCGCAUUAUGUCAGCCUCAUGCACAAAUUCAUGUUGUUACUCCUACGAACAGAGAAAAUGAAAUAUUCCUUGAUUUAAAAAAAGACCCAAGCCGCUAAUAAUAACAACAACACAAGCCUAUAGAGACACUGGUUCAUUACUGCUGCAGUGCUUGUUGUAGCGUGAGUGGAAGUAGGGUGAACACACAUUCUAUAGAUCAGCCAGGCCCCUAUAGAUCAGCCAGGCCCCUAUAGAUCAGCCAGGCCCCUAUAGAUCAGCCAGGCCCCUAUAGAUCAGCCAGGCCCCUAUAGAUCAGCCAGGCCCCUAUAGAUCAGCCAGGCCCCUAUAGAUCAGCCAGGCCCCUAUAGAUCAGCCAGGCUGUUGUAGCGUGAGUGGAAGUAGGGUGAACACAUUUUAUGGCUUAUAAAAGAGUUGACUACAAAGUGUUGACAGUUCUGAAUAAGAACUAAAACAUGAAGUCACUCAUAAAAACAGAAUCUCUUUGUUGUAUUGGUUGACAGUCUCGCUCUAGUCGUGGGUUUAAAACGUUUAACAUCUCACAGUAUCCACUGUAGCUUUCAUUUACACCUGCUAAUAUAUGUUACUGAACGGUAAGCUGAGCCAUCUGAUUGGCCAGCGGUAGGCCUAUAGUGCACUUGAUUUGCUCUCUGGGUCCACCGGGAAGGAAGAGUUUGAACCUGCAGACACAUGAAAUGGUUCAAAAUGACAGCCGUUGAUCUACCCGGCGGUGCAGGACAGCUGAAUCAGGUGCACCUCCUGCCAACAGCUUGCCUACCCGGCGGUGCAGGACAGCUGAAUCAGGUGCACCUCCUGCCAACAGCUUGCCUACCCAGCGGUGCAGGACAGCUGAAUCAGGUGCACCUCCUGCCAACAGCUUGCCUACCCGGCGGUGCAGGACAGCUGAAUCAGGUGCACCUCCUGCCAACAGCUUGCCUACCCGGCGGUGCAGGACAGCUGAAUCAGGUGCACCUCCUGCCAACAGCUUGCCUACCCGGCGGUGCAGGACAGCUGAAUCAGGUGCACCUCCUGCCAACAGCUAGCCUACCCGGCGGUGCAGGACAGCUGAAUCAGGUGCACCUCCUGCCAACAGCUAGCCUACCCGGCGGUGCAGGACAGCUGAAUCAGGUGCACCUCCUGCCAACAGCUUGCCUACCCGGCGGUGCAGGACAGCUGAAUCAGGUGCACCUCCUGCCAACAGCUAGCCUACCCGGCGGUGCAGGACAGCUGAAUCAGGUGCACCUCCUGCCAACAGCUCGCCUACCCGGCGGUGCAGGACAGCUGAAUCAGGUGCACCUCCUGUCAACAACCUGAGAUGAGUGAAUAACAAAAUAGGAACACAAGGUUUUAUCGUUGCGUUUUUUUACACAAAUGUUUGGUGAUCGACUAGGGGAUGCCUUGGUGAUGGACCGGUUGGUGACCACUGCUCUAGAAGUAAAGUUAAAUCGUGUGCUUCUCUCUGUAGGCUGAUAUCACGGCUGCGUGGAAGUCUUGGGGCUACUGCGAAUGAGCACAGUUUAGAGGGAACAACUGUAUCAGGACAUCAAAUCAGCAUUGUAAUCGUGGUGGGGAGGAGAGAACGCUUUGUAAUAUAGGCCUUAAAUUACAUCCUCGUUUAAAAAGACCAGCUACUGCUGCUCCACACUGCCCAGCUACUGGAAACAGUGCCACACUGGCCAGCU